rnacentral:rRNA from 1 species
UACAGAGGGUGCGAGCGUUAAUCGGAAUUACUGGGCGUAAAGGGUGCGUAGGUGGUUGCGUAAGUUAGAUGUGAAAGUCCUGGGCUUAACCUGGGGAUUGCGUCUAAUACUGUGCGGCUAGAGUACUGUAGAGGAAAGUGGAAUUUCCGGUGUAGCGGUGAAAUGCGUAGAUAUCGGAAGGAACACCAGUGGCGAAGGCGACUUUCUGGACAGAUACUGACACUGAGGCACGAAAGCGUGGGGAGCAAACAGG